rnacentral:rRNA from 1 species
UAGGGGGUGUAGCAAUACAUCACCGGCGGACGGGUGCGUAACGCGUGGGAAUGUACCUAUUGGUUCGGAACAACACAGGGAAACUUGUGCUAAUACCGAAUGUGCCCGUAAGGGGAAAGAUUUAUCGCCAAUGGAUCAGCCCGCGUUCGAUUAGCUAGUUGGUGAGGUAAUGGCUCACCAAGGCGACGAUCGAUAGCUGUUCUGAGAGGAAGAUCAGCCACACUGGGACUGAGACACGGCCCAGACUCCUACGGGAGGCAGCAGUUGGGAAUCUUGGACAAUGGGGGAAACCCUGAUCCAGCCAUGCCGCGUGAGUGAUGAAGGCCUUCGGGUUGUAAAACUCUUUCGCGCACGACGAUAAUGACGGUAGUGCGAGAAGAAGCUCCGGCUAACUUCGUG